CCUACUCCUGACCCACUGUGAUGGUGAUGGUGAGAGUCCUUGCCCAUGAGCUUGGAAUGAAGAACCUUGAGUGUUUGCAUUGGACUUAGCGCUUCGGUGGUCUUUGGGAUCCCUGUGACUUGGGUAUAACACUCAGCAGUCAAGAGAGGUCCCUGUUUACUCAUCUGCCAAACAGACACUGACCAUGGACCUAGCGUCCCUUCCCAUUCCCCCUAUACAUGCAGCAGAAGUGCAGCUUGAUCUUCUCCAUGUGGGUCCCCCAACAAUUGGAGUGCAGGCUGUCCCUGACUCUGUUGCCUGCCUGUGGAUCUUAUUCACCUAACUGGGAUGACUUGUCUAGCCUCAGUGGGAGAGGAUACACCUAGUCCUGCAGUGACCUGAUUUGCCAGGACCUUUAACAGAAGAGGUUCAGUAAGCUUCAAACACGGAUCCCACCUCAAGCAACUCAAAAAUGGCAAAGCCAGAACUGGACUCCAAACUACGAAGUCUCCACAGCACAAAUGAGGCUUGGCUGCCUGGAUAUUGCUUGGCACCAGAGAACAAGAGAGCAGCAGAGCAAGAAGACCAAAGUUUGAUAAACAAAGAAACUCAUUAAAGUCACACGAGUUACAGAAAUCGACCUCAAGCCUGAGCCUAAUUCUCUGGGACUCCGUAACCCCUGACUAUUCUA
rnacentral:lncRNA from 1 species